AUUGAACGCUGGCGGCAGGCCUAACACAUGCAAGUCGAGCGAGCGGCGGACGGGUGAGUAAUGUAUGGGGACUGCCCGAUAGAGGGGGAUAACUACUGGAAACGGUAGCUAAUACCGCAUACUAUCGGAUAACCCAUAUGGGAUUAGCUAGUAGGUGAGGUAAUGGCUCACCUAGGCGACGAUCCCUAGCUGGUCUGAGAGGAUGAUCAGCCCCACUGGGACUGCGACACUGCCCAGACGCCUACGGAGGCAGCAGUGGGGAAUAUCGCACAAUGGGGGCAAGCCUGAUGCAGCCAUGCCGCGUGUAUGAAGAAGGCCUUCGGGUUGUAAAGUACUUUCAGUCGGGAGGCGUUACCGACAGAAGAAGCACCGUCUAACUCCGUGCCAGCAGCCGCGGUAAUUC
rnacentral:rRNA from 1 species